rnacentral:rRNA from 1 species
UUCGUAGGCGGUGCGGCAAGUUGGGAGUGAAAUCUCUGGGCUUAACUCAGAGGCUGCUUUCAAAACUGCCGUGCUCGAGUGCGGGGGAGGCCAGUGGAAUUGCAGGUGUAGCGGUGAAAUGCGUAGAUAUCUGCAGGAACACCCGUGGCGAAGGCGGCUGGCUGGACCGCAACUGACGCUGAGGAACGAAAGCUAGGGGAGCAAACAGGAUUAGAUACCCUGGUAGUCCUAGCCCUAAACCAUCAGGACUUGGGGUGGCCCGCGUAGGCGGGUCGUCUCGUAGCUAACGCGUUAAGUCCUGCGCCUGGGGAGUACGGUCGCAAGACUGAA